GACAUCUCACCGAAAAUAUCCAGUUUCUGUCGCCACAAACAGCUGGAUCGUUGCCCCGUGGUCUGCUUAAAUACUGGCUCGGCGUCCUUCAAGCCCAGCUGUCGCUCUAUCACGAUUCCCUCCACCUGCUGAUUUAAAGACGGAAAGAUGAUGUGUCGUCUGUCUCUCUUCUUGGCUCAUGUCAACAUUUUGUCACCAAACAUGCAUCAUCAGCAACAGAAAACAGUAAAAUAUGGUAUGAAGCUCACCCUGAAGGAAGGGACGAUUUAGGCUCUGAUGCUAGUAGAAGAGACAACAAGCAGGGCAGCAGCUGCACAACAGGAUGCAACAAAGUUUGGAGUACAAACAGGACAAACUGAGCGAGCAUCCAAAACGCCAGGUCAGGAGUGUUUGAUGUGACCACGGUGGGAAACGGGGAAGCGAAAGUAGCAGCUGGGAGAAUUAUGAAAAACUCCCAGUGGCGAUGACAAGAAAGCGGUGAAUAAUGCUUUUAGACUUUACUGAACUGCUUGUGACCUAAAUGAGUGUGGCCCAGAACACGGCUACCGCUUUUAGCACAGUUAAUACGAGGAUAGAUUAUGGCUACUAAACACAAACCCCACAGGUGGACUGGCAAACAGUGCGCCUGUCAGCGGAGAGAAUCAUCUAAGUGGGCUUUCUUCCCUUUAUACGCUAUUUUUAUCCUAUAGCACAUUUUCCAUCCGUCUUUAUUUACUAUAACUACCUCUCAGCUGUCUUUCAUGAUGCAUUUGUGUUUGCAAGUAGGUGUGCAUGCAUGUGUGUGUCUGUGGAUGGUUACUCAGGUUGCACAGUGUAAACAGUGAAUGCACCUGUGUAAAUGACACAGUGAGAGAUGUUUAGCUGAGAGGCCAUCAGGGAAUUAGGCCUGUUGUGCAAACUGUGUCACCUGGAGGGAACGAGGAGACAAAAAAAAAAAAAGUGGCUUCACCAGUAACAGCCGUGGCUGAGCCAGCUGACAAAGACAGAUCUGGGUUCAGGAGAAUCAGCAGCUCUCCCACACCUGAGAAAGACAGAUAGCACAUGUGCAUGCAAAUGUUAGACAUGGUUUGAGUGUCAAUCCACCUGUUGGAUUUUAUUUACGAGCUGUAGUCUGGAAAAGACUCCUCUGUCACCCAUCCACACCUGAACCAGCAAACGUUCAGUCUUGCACAGCUGUGCCAGAGCUCAGGAGUCAUGAGAUGGUGAAGGUUUCUGAGAAUGUGAGCUGGGAUAGGUAGCAUAGUUUCAGAGACGGCUCAUGUGGGCAGGA